rnacentral:rRNA from 1 species
UACGGAGGGUGCGAGCGUUGUCCGGAAUCAUUGGGCGUAAAGGGCGCGUAGGUGGCCCGGUCAGUUCGUGGUGAAAGCCCGGGGCUCAACCCCGGGUCGGCCGUGGCAACUGCUGGGCUGGAGUACUGUAGAGGCAGGUGGAAUUCCGGGUGUAGCGGUGGAAUGCGUAGAGAUCCGGAAGAACACCGGUGGCGAAGGCGGCCUGCUGGGCAGUAGCUGACGCUGAGGCGCGACAGCGUGGGGAGCAAACAGG